rnacentral:rRNA from 1 species
ACACAUGCAGUCGAACGAUGAUGCCUAGCUUGCUAGGUGGAUUAGUGGCGAACGGGUGAGUAACACGUGAGUAACCUGCCCCUGACUCUGGGAUAAGCCUGAGAAAUUGGGUCUAAUACUGGAUAUGAACAUUUACCGCAUGGUGGGUGUUGGAAAGAUUUUUUGGUUGGGGAUGGACUCGCGGCCUAUCAGCUUGUUGGUGAGGUAGUGGCUCACCAAGGCGACGACGGGUAGCCGGCCUGAGAGGGUGACCGGCCACACUGGGACUGAGACACGGCCCAGACUCCUACGGGAGGCAGCAGUGGGGAAUAUUGCACAAUGGGCG